rnacentral:rRNA from 1 species
GACGAACGCUGGCGGCGUGCUUAACACAUGCAAGUCGAACGGAAAGGCCCUGCUUUUGUGGGGUGCUCGAGUGGCGAACGGGUGAGUAACACGUGAGUAGCCUGCCCUUGACUUUGGGAUAACUUCAGGAAACUGGGGCUAAUACCGGAUAGGAGCUCCUGCUGCAUGGUGGGGUUGGAAAGUUUCGGCGGUUGGGGAUGGACUCGCGGCUUAUCAGCUUGUUGGUGGGGUAGUGGCUUACCAAGGCUUUGACGGGUAGCCGGCCUGAGAGGGUGACCGGCCACAUUGGGACUGAGAUACGGCCCAGACUCCUACGGGAGGCAGCAGUGGGGAAUAUUGCACAAUGGGCGGAAGCCUGAUGCAGCAACGCCGCGUGCGGGAUGACGGCCUUCGGGUUGUAAACCGCUUUCGCCUGUGACGAAGCGUGAGUGACGGUAAUGGGUAAAGAAGCACCGGCUAACUACGUG